UCCGACUGAGUCCCUUUCUUCCUCUAGUC
rnacentral:piRNA from 1 species